rnacentral:rRNA from 1 species
CGCUGGCGGCGUGCUUAACACAUGCAAGUCGAACGCGAAAGGGACUUCGGUCCUGAGUAGAGUGGCGCACGGGUGAGUAACGCGUAGAUGACCUGUCUUCAUGUCUGGAAUAAUACGCCGAAAGGGGUACUAAUACCGGAUAUUCUUGCUUUUCAUAAGUUAUGCAAGCAAAGGUGGCCUCUGCAUAUGCUACUGCAUGAAGAGGGGUCUGCGUACCAUUAGCUAGUAGGUGGGGUAAUGGCCUACCUAGGCGACGAUGGUUAGCGGGUCUGAGAGGAUGAUCCGCCACACUGGCACUGGAACACGGGCCAGACUCCUACGGGAGGCAGCAGUGAGGAAUAUUGCGCAAUGGGGGAAACCCUGACGCAGCGACGCCGCGUGAGUGAAGGAAGGCCUUCGGGUCGUAAAGCUCUGUCAAGAGGAAAGAAGUGUACAAUGGCUAAUACCUGUUGUAUUUGACGGUACCUCUAAAGGAAGCACCGGCUAACUCCGUGCCAGCAGCGGC